UACAUAGGGUGCGAGCGUUGUCCGGAAUCACUGGGCGUAAAGGGCGCGUAGGCGGCGACCCAAGUCGAUGGUGAAAGCUCGCCGCUCAACGGCGAGUCGGCCACCGAUACUGGGUUGCUCGAGCACUGUAGAGGCUAAUGGAAUUCCGGGUGUAGCGGUGGAAUGCGUAGAGAUCCGGAAGAACACCGGUGGCGAAGGCGGUUAGCUGGGCAGUUGCUGACACUGAGGCGCGACAGCGUGGGGAGCAAACAGG
rnacentral:rRNA from 1 species